rnacentral:rRNA from 1 species
UACAGAGGUGGCAAGCGUUGUUCGGAAUUACUGGGCGUAAAGGGCGCGUAGGCGGCCUAACUAAGUCAGACGUGAAAUCCCCCGGCUUAACCUGGGAACUGCGUCUGAUACUGGAAGGCUUGAGUAUGGGAGAGGGAUGUGAAUUCCAGUGUAGCGUGAAAUGCGUAGAUAUCUGGAGGAUACCGGUGGCGAAGGCGGCAUCCUGGACCAUUCUGGACGCUGAGGCGCGAAAGCUAGGGGAGCAACGGG